UACGUAGGGUGCAAGCGUUAAUCGGAAUUACUGGGCGUAAAGCGUGCGCAGGCGGUUCGUUGUGUCGGCGGUGAAAGCCCCGGGCUUAACCUGGGAAUGGCCGUUGAAACUGGCGAACUGGAGUGUGGCAGAGGGGGGUGGAAUUCCGCGUGUAGCAGUGAAAUGCGUAGAGAUCCGGAGGAACACCAGCGGCGAAGGCGGCAUCCUGGACUGGUCCUGACACUCAGGAGCGAAAGCGUGGGGAGCGAUCCGG
rnacentral:rRNA from 1 species